CGCUUACAUAAGAAAUACUUCGCAUGCGAUAUAUACGCAGUAUCUUUCAAACCUUCAUUGUGAACAGAAGUAACCUAGAGUAUCAUAGUUACUGAAAACAAUAAUACCCCAGAGAGCCCAGGUGGUUAAUUACCAGGUUUUAGGAAGGAUGAAAACACAAGGAGGUUUUCUUGGAGGCUUUGGAAGGAACAAACCUUUAAUUGGCAAACAUACUGGAGCAAGGAGAUGUACUGCACUGAGUGGUAAUGAGCCUAACACAUCCUCUGGAGCUGAAUCAUACAAGUAUCAAACAAAGCUGGCUAACUGUCCCGUUGUACACUUCAACAAUACGGUUACUGUCCGAUAUUUUUGGAAGUGAAUUAAAAAGCAGGCAGCCUUACCAGAGCUUUAAUAUUUUGUCUUUAAUAUCAUAUACUUAACUUUAAAAUUGAUUCUGUGAUUGUGAAUUUUAAGUACAAUGGAUGUUUUAAUCUCAAUAUCAUUGCAACCUCAUCGUUAAAACAUUGAACCUCAUAAGAAAGUAGAUAAAAGUAAUCAAUAAUAAUAUGUUCUAAAAUUUUUUUCCAGAAUUUCUUUAAUCUAAACUUUACUCUCUCUGUGAUUUGUAUGUAAUAUUUUUUUAGUUUGAUCAAUAAACAUCAAUAAUUUUA